AGGCGUAGAGUUCGGUAGGGGAGGAUCGGAAUUCCUGGUGUAGCGGUGAAAUGCGCAGAUAUCAGGAGGAACACCGGUGGCGAAGGCGGAUCUCUGGGCCGAUACUGACGCUGAGGAGCGAAAGCUGGGGAGCGAACAGGAUUAGAUACCCUGGUAGUCCACGCCGUAAACGGUGGGCACUAGGUGUGGGCAACAUUCCACGUUGUCCGUGCCGCAGCUAACGCAUUAAGUGCCCCGCCUGGGGAGUACGGCCGCAAGGCUAAAACUCAAAGGAAUUGACGGGGGCCCGCACAAGCGGCGGAGCAUGUGGCUUAAUUCGACGCAACGCGAAGAACCUUACCAAGGCUUGACAUACACCGGAAAACCCUGGAGACAGGGUCCCCCUUGUGGUCGGUGUACGGGUGGUGCAUGGCUGUCGUCAGCUCGUG
rnacentral:ncRNA from 1 species